UUCGUGAUUUCGUGAUCGAGCGGCAAGAUACUUGCCUCUCAUCCCGGAGUUCCGGGUUCUAUCCCCGGUCGCGGAA